rnacentral:tRNA from 1 species
GGCCCGGUUGGCGCGCGGCGCCGGCGUGCCGGCCAUCGACCGGCUCGGCUACCUAGCCGAGCAGGCCGCGUUCCAGCUCGACGGGAUCA